AGAGUUUGAUCCUGGCUCAGGAUGAACGCUAGCGACAGGCUUAACACAUGCAAGUCGAGGGGCAGCGGGGGUAGCAAUACCCGCCGGCGACCGGCGCACGGGUGAGUAACGCGUAUGCAACUUACCUAUCAGAGGGGGAUAACCCGGCGAAAGUCGGACUAAUACCGCAUGAAGCAGGGGCCCCGCAUGGGGAUAUUUGCUAAAGAUUCAUCGCUGAUAGAUAGGCAUGCGUUCCAUUAGGCAGUUGGCGGGGUAACGGCCCACCAAACCGACGAUGGAUAGGGGUUCUGAGAGGAAGGUCCCCCACAUUGGUACUGAGACACGGACCAAACUCCUACGGGAGGCAGCAGUGAGGAAUAUUGGUCAAUGGGCGCGAGCCUGAACCAGCCAAGUCGCGUGAGGGAUGAAGGUUCUAUGGAUCGUAAACCUCUUUUAUAAGGGAAUAAAGUGCGGGACGUGUCCCGUUUUGUAUGUACCUUAUGAAUAAGGAUCGGCUAACUCCGUGCCAGCAGCCGCGGUAAUACGGAGGAUCCGAGCGUUAUCCGGAUUUAUUGGGUUUAAAGGGUGCGUAGGCGGCCUUUUAAGUCAGCGGUGAAAGUCUGUGGCUCAACCAUAGAAUUGCCGUUGAAACUGGGGGGCUUGAGUAUGUUUGAGGCAGGCGGAAUGCGUGGUGUAGCGGUGAAAUGCUUAGAUAUCACGCAGAACCCCGAUUGCGAAGGCAGCCUGCCAAGCCAUGACUGACGCUGAUGCACGAAAGCGUGGGGAUCAAACAGGAUUAGAUACCCUGGUAGUCCACGCAGUAAACGAUGAUCACUAGCUGUUUGCGAUACAGUGUAAGCGGCACAGCGAAAGCGUUAAGUGAUCCACCUGGGGAGUACGCCGGCAACGGUGAAACUCAAAGGAAUUGACGGGGGCCC
rnacentral:rRNA from 1 species